UCCUGACCAACCAAUGCUCAGGCUUCUACAUUUCCUGUUACUGAAUGAGGAUCAAGAGGAGGAGUGAUUAUUACAGGGACCUGAUCUAGAUUUCACAAAUGACAAGUCUUUGGCAGCUGCUAAGGAUAAGGCAUCUUUGGAGAACAAUCUUGCUUGGGAAGUCACUUCUCCCCCUGCCCCUCCCUACCCCCUAGGCCGCAAGAGGUCAUCCCUGGCAGCUGUUCUUAAAAGGAGAGUGGGGCCAGGCUGACAGCAGCUGUUACAAAGAUACUGAACAGAGAAUCCAGGAGGAAGGCUGGGUCCAAGCACAAUAACUAGAAGAGAAACUCUGAUGGAAUCAAAACUAGAGGGGAAAAAAAUGCUACUCCAAGGUCAAAUAAGGAAAUCUUUAGCAUCCACAAGAACCUCAGGAAAAAAGACACAGAAGUCUUUGAGGAUGAUGAAGGGACACCUGAGUGGCUCAGUGGUUGAGCAUCUGCCUUCGGCUCAAGUCAU